GAUGAACGCUGACAGAAUGCUUAACACAUGCAAGUCAACUUGAACUUCGGUUUGGGUGGCGGACGGGUGAGUAACGCGUAAAGAACUUGCCUCACAGUUAGGGACAACAUUUGGAAACGAAUGCUAAUACCUGAUAUUAUGAUUUUAGGGCAUCCUAGAAUUAUGAAAGCUAUAUGCGCUGUGAGAGAGCUUUGCGUCCCAUUAGCUAGUUGGAGAGGUAACGGCUCACCAAGGCGAUGAUGGGUAGCCGGCCUGAGAGGGUGAACGGCCACAAGGGGACUGAGACACGGCCCUUACUCCUACGGGAGGAAGCAGUGGGGAAUAUUGGACAAUGGACCAAGAGUCUGAUCCAGCAAUUCUGUGUGCACGAUGAAGUUUUUCGGAAUGUAAAGUGCUUUCAGUUGGGAAGAAAAAAAUGACGAUACCAACAGAAGAAGUGACGGCUAAAUACGUG
rnacentral:rRNA from 1 species